rnacentral:rRNA from 1 species
AGGUUUGAUCCUGGCUCAGGAUGAACGCUAGCUACAGGCUUAACACAUGCAAGUCGAGGGGUAGCAGGGUAGCAAUACCGCUGACGACCGGCGCACGGGUGAGUAACACGUAUCCAACCUUCCCAUAACUCAGGGAUAGCCUUUCGAAAGAAAGAUUAAUACCUGAUAGUACUUUUUCAAGGCAUCUUGAGAAAGUUAAAGAUUUAUUGGUUAUGGAUGGGGAUGCGUUCCAUUAGAUAGUUGGUGAGGUAACGGCUCACCAAGUCUUCGAUGGAUAGGGGUUCUGAGAGGAAGGUCCCCCACAUUGGUACUGAGACACGGACCAAACUCCUACGGGAGGCAGCAGUGAGGAAUAUUGGUCAAUGGGCGAGAGCCUGAACCAGCCAAGUAGCGUGAAGGAAUGAAGGUCCUAUGGAUUGUAAACUUCUUUUAUAGUAGAAUAAAGUGAUCCACGUGUGGAUUUUUGUAUGUAUACUAUGAAUAAGGAUCGGCUAACUCCGUGCCAGCCGCCGC